rnacentral:rRNA from 1 species
AUGAGCCUAAACUCAUAGUGUGAUAUAGCCUGGCGGCGAUGCAUUAUGGGGGUUGUGGGACUCAAUAGAACUAGCGCCUGAUAGUUCACGAAGUUACAAAAGUUAUAUAUAACAGAAGAAGUCUGGAAAGCUUCACCGCAGAGGGUAAUAGUCCCGUAUGUGAAAUGUAUAACCCUUCGAUUGAUGUUCCCGAGUAUCACGGGAUCCGAGAAAGCCCGUGUGAAUCUGUGAGGACCACCUCAUAAGGCUAAAUACAAUCUAGUGACCGAUAGUGUACAAGUACCGUGAGGGAAAGGUGAAAAGAACCCCGAGAGGGGAGUGAAAUAGAACCUGAAACCAUUGGUUUACAAUCCGUUAAAGAGUCGGAUAAGAAUUUAUUCUUAUCUCUCAAUAGCGUGCCUUUUGAAGAAUGAGCCAGCGAGUUACCGUUUGUGGCAAGGUUAACCCGAGAGGGGAAGCCGAAGCGAAAGCGAGUCUGAAUAGGGCGUACUAGUCGCAGGCGGUAGACCCGAAGCCGGGUGAUCUAUCCAUGAGCAGGGUGAAGCGGAGGUAAGACUUCGUGGAGGCCCGAACCCACCCUAGUUGAAAAUAGGGGGGAUGACUUGUGGAUAGGGGUGAAAGGCCAAUCAAACCCGGUGAUAGCUGGUUCUCCCCGAAAUGCAUUUAGGUGCAGCGUCGUGAGUUCAGUAUCGGAGGUAGAGCUACUGGAUGGUUUAGGGGGCCUACAAGCUUACCAAAAUCAGCCAAACUCCGAAUGCCGAUACUCCAGAUCACGGCAGUGAGACUAUGGGGGCUAAGCUUCAUAGUCGAGAGGGAAACAGCCCAGAGCGCCAACUAAGGUCCCAAAUUUAUACUCAGUGGUAAACGAUGUGGGAAUGCCUAGACAGCCAGGAGGUUGGCUUAGAAGCAGCCAUCCUUGAAAGAGUGCGUAAUAGCUCACUGGUCGAGUGUUCCUGCGCGGACAAUGUAACGGGGCUCAAGUAUAAAACCGAAGUUGCGUCAUUAGGAUAAUUUAUUAUUACUGAUGGGUAGGGGAGCGUCGAGUUCGACUGUGAAGCCAGAUGAUAACGUCUGGUGGAGUGGACUCGAGUGAGAAUGCUGGCAUGAGUAGCGAACGAAGGGGGAGGAACCCUUCCUCCGAAUAUCCAAGGGUUCCUGGGCAAGGCUCAUCCGCCCAGGGUUAGUCGGGAGCUAAGGCGAGGCCGAAAGGCGUAGUCGAUGCACAACUGGUUGAUAUUCCAGUACCACCAUAUUCGCGCCCAGCCUAAGCUAAUUUGCUAAGUGGCUGUUAAUUUAUUAACGAAACGACCCAAUUAGUGCAUGGUAAUUGUAGGGGGACGCAGGAAGGUAGAUCUGACAGGUGAUGGUUAUCCUGGAAGUAAGUAAGUAGGGAGUGUGAUAGGAAAAUCCGUUGCACAUUAAUCCUGAGAUACGACACGUAGCCGAUUUAGGCGAUUUGAUUGAUCCUAUGCUGCCUAGAAAAGCCUAGCAAUGAGUUAAUAUGGUGCCCGUACCCCAAACCGACACAGGUAGAUAAGUAGAGAAUACUAAGGAGAGCGAGAUAACUCCGGUUAAGGAACUCGGCAAAAUGCCCCCGUAACUUCGGGAUAAGGGGGGCCUCAGUAAAGUGAUUGUCUUCGCGACAUGAGCUUGAGGAGGCCGCAGUGACUAGAGCCAAGCGACUGUUUACCAAAAACACAGGUGCAUGCGAAGCCGUAAGGCGAUGUAUAUGCACUGACGCCUGCCCAAUGCUGGAAGGUCACGGAGAGAGGUUAGCGCUUGUCGCGAAGCUUCGAACUUAAGCCCCAGUGAAUGGCGGCCGUAACUAUAACGGUCCUAAGGUAGCGAAAUUCCUUGUCGGGUAAGUU